GCGUCUCGCGGAAAUGGCAAUCGUCUACCCUUCUAUUGUGUCUCUACUGCUACCUCAAGCUACUCCACCUAAUCCCGUCCACGGCGCAGCCUCACCCUGGUGCUCAGCUCUCAGAAACAACAACGCUCUCUUCCUUCUCAGGUUCCCUAAUUUCCGCAUUUGCGCCGUUCGGGAUGGAUUCGCCAAGGUCUCGCGGGCCCUAACGAAGGAUAGCGAAGCAACGAAGCCUCUGGUGAGGAUCACCGCGGUGGUUGGCGCCGGAAGCGUUAGCCCGCUCAAGGGAACGCCUUGGGAGCAGGUCAUGCGGCACACGGCAACUCGGCUGAAGUGGGUGGAUGAAGCAAUCGAAAUGACCGUCUUCAGCGAAAAGGCCACGCGCUCUAAUGAUUCUUGCAAUGAACAGCUCACGGAGGAGAUGUUACGUUCGGAUAUCUUGGUUAAUAUUGCAGUAAAUGAUUCAGAAUCUGUGGAAUGGCUUCAGAAAAACAGUAAUAGCGUUCCGAACAUCAUAUGCUUUGAAUCUUCGACAAAUCUUACCAACAAGCUUGGCGGAUUACGUAUCAGAAACAAAGAAAGAAACUUCUUCAACAGCUUAAACCGUGAAGCAACAGAAGUUCUCAGGACUGCAUCAAAUGCUUGGGAGAGACAUAAUUCAGAUGACAUUAGGUUUUGCCUCCUUGUCAUCAUCAACUCCUACAUAAGACCCAUUUCCAUACUGAAAAAUCUGAGGGCCAAGGGGCUCUCCACUGUCAACUGCAUGCUGACAAAUUGUGGAUCGCAGGUGCUGAACUGCUUAUUGGAUCCUAACUGCAGAAAAGCCCUUCAGUGUUUGAACAGAUGUUCGCCGAUCGAUCAAGUUUGUAACUAUCGCUGCAUUGCAUCCUACGAGAGCCCAUACCUGGAGGCAUUUUCGCUGUGCGUGCUGCAAAAGAACAACUGUCUUGAGUUGAAUGCAGUGAUCCCCACCAAGCCUGUUGUAUCUCCAUUGACCAUGUUCCGGGGAGAGCUGUUGAGCCAUGAACUUGCAGAAGAUCUCUUCAUCGGCUGGUUGGGCAAGUUCGAAUGGAGUUGGCGAGUCAUAGCAGGCCAGAAUCCUGCUUAUGAUCAUUUUCCUUGUCAGUAUCAGCUGUUCUACAGGGGAAAGGCUAGAGGAUCAUUUUGGUAUGAACCUGUGUUUCAAGUUCGAACUCUUGGAGGUGACUUAAUCUGGAGGAGGAGGAGGUAUCGUGUCCGAAGAGCAAGCAUUCCCGGCACAUUCUACUUCAGUGUUCUUGAUAAUGGGGUGGUUUCUGAGGAAUAUUGGACAGUUGUAGACGUUUGUGAGGAUCUCAGUUGGGGUCUGUUUCAUUACAGCGGGGCAGCUUCGGCUGCGGGAUUGUCAUAUACCGGGGCGGUGCUGGUCAGUCCAGACGGAUACUAUGAGCCAGAGUUGGGAGGGCACCGACUCAAGUCGGCAUUGGAGAAAUGCAGCAUCAUGGAGUGGGAGCUGCACAUUGUAGAUAACUGUUCUUGCACAAACCCUCCGCUGGGAAUUCCACAGGGUUCACGUCUGCAUUCUAACAUUAAUAUUUAAUACGAAGGAUCAUGGAUGGGAGUCUGAGCAGAUUGGAGAAGCUAUCAUAUAAAGAAGUACUUCUUGAAUGCGCAUGCCAAAGCACAUUUGGGCUAUACCAUUGAUAUUGUGCAGAUAUUUAAGGUUUCCAGGAAAGAUGAACUUGAACGAUUCAAAAAGUACUCACACCAAGAAUAGGAUGCUUCUGUGGCAUGGUUCUUGACUCACAAACUGGACCGGGAUCCUUUCUCAAGGGUUGAGGAUUGCACCUCCAGAAGCACCCGUUACUGGUUUCAUGUUUGGAAAGGGAGUUUAUUUUGCCGAUUUGUUUUCAAAGAGUGCAAAUUAUUGUUAUGCAUCAAUACAGUCCAGCAAAGGAGUGUUGCUCCUUUGUGAGGUUGCGCUUGGUGAUAUGGCUGAACAACUAUCUGCUAAUUAUAAUACUGAUCAAUUACCUGAGGGGAAAUUAAGGUUUGCAUCAACCUUUGCUAGAUUCUCUAUCAUUGGAAUUAGAUUUUUUUGGCAUAUGAUUAUUGGAACAUGAGACACUUUAAGGGAGAUAUCAACUGUAUCACAGCUGGUUCUCUCUGGCAAAUCUCUUCAGGUGGAUAUAUUUUUGUCCUAGUUCUCUGAACUAUGCCUACAUUUCACAUAAAUUUUUUAAAGACAAAUGUGGUUCAAUAUUUAUGCUUGCCCGUUGACGUGAUUUAAAUAAAAUGCAAUCAUUUUUGUUGAUUUGAAAAUAUUAUCAUCCUUUAACUUGGAUGUUUAGGACAAUGAAUUGCCCUUGAUAAAGCUAUUUUGGAGCAUGCUUCCACAUUUAAUCACACUUGCCCCAUUGACUUGCUAACUGGAGGAAAGAAAAUUAAGGAUCAAUGUAAUAUGCCUUGAAGCUUUAGGUACUCACUUGUACAAUUACACCAUGAAUAUGACUGGUAAAUUUUCAUGUAAUGCAUAUUAUGAGAUACCCAAUUGGAAACCAUGGUCUAUGUUCCUUUGUCACCUAUUAUAUAGAACGCAACACUUAUGGAGUAGCCCUUCAAAGGAUUUCCUAUCAAGGACCUUCCAGAUGUCUGAUCUCAGUUAAUAAUGCACAACUAUCAGUCAGUGGCUAGGAGUUGAUCCAGACCAAUGGAAUGGCUAGGAGAGGGCCCUCUAUAUAUUUGCAUUCUAUUUGGUGCCUUUUUUCUAAGUCUCAUUUAGAUGAUCCCAAGUGAUUCUAGAAAUUGUGGUGGAUCUGUGGCAAAUGGAGCAUCUGUUCAUAUAGUAUAAUAGUAAGACUUCUAAACCAUGUAGAU